rnacentral:lncRNA from 1 species
GUGUGAUGCCAAGGAGGCGUACAGCCUUGCUCAUCACUGCACCUUCCCCCAGUGGUACUUGAAAGUUAUGAUGGACCACAGAGCUCCUUAGAAUAGAAUGUUCAGAGGUUCUACUUUUCGUGUUUUCAUCAUAAUCAAGGCUAGCAAAUCUUUCUCCAUUUCUGAUGCUCAUGGAAACUGUAUUAUCUACAGAAAGCUCUCCUAAGUAUUUCCUUCCUUCAUUGGAUGAUGACUGAUUUCAAGAGUCUGAAAUGUGAAAAUGCUUAAAUUUCCGACCACUGAAUUCAGUAAGAAUUAAGUACCUAAACAUGUUUGGAGGCCUGGAUUCUCAGAACAGUAUAUUUUUUUUAAUUAAAAAUUCCAGGUAGGUAUUAAUAAUCAGGUUCUAGGCACAACCAAUAUGAAAUCUAUGGUUAAACAUGUACCAACGUCCACUCAAUUGAGCGGCUGUAGAAGGAGCAGAUAUCUUUGCACUGUUCCAAG